rnacentral:sRNA from 1 species
GCUGGGCGUAGAGACACAUGCCUGUAAUCCCAGCAACUUGGGAGGCUGAGACAGGAGAAUCACAAGUUCAAGGCCAGCCUUAGCAAUCUACCAAGGUCCUAAGCAAGUUAGUGAGAUCCUGUUUCAA